AACAAAGGGCAUCACGUUUCCCCCCCACGGUGACCUCACACGCCCCCUCCCAGAAGUGCCUAGCGCUCCACAAACGAGAGGGAUUCCGUCUGUGGCCUGUCCCGCGCGCUCAGGAUUACCACGCAUCGUUAAUCAAAGGCAACGCUGCAGGACCGAGUAGGGACUCUGCGCUGCAGAGAAAAGUUCGCCCCAGUGGCAGUUUUCGUGAAGAAGUCCAGCCUACAACAGCCUAUGGAUACACUGGAUUUGACGCCCUUGCGUGACAUGUGAGAUGCAUUUCCAGACUUUGCAUCUUAACUGGAACUUCCAGCGAAUCCCCUCAGUGAGAUAACUAUGGCCCCUGUCCCCAAAAUGAGCAUUGUGUGGUUUGGCCCGCCCCUUGGACCUUGUGGCCUCAUCCAUUCAAGUUGGGGGGGGGAUACCCCACAGUGAUG
ensembl:lncRNA